GACACGACUCUCGGCAAUGGAUCUCUCGGCUCUCGCAUCGAUGAAGAGCACAGCGAAAUGUGAUACGUGGUGCGAAUUGCAGAAUCCCGCGAAC
rnacentral:rRNA from 1 species